rnacentral:sRNA from 1 species
GGCAUUGGUGGUUGGCACUCCUGGAUGAUUCCAGGAUGGGGUUCAAGUCCCUGCGAUGGC